rnacentral:rRNA from 1 species
CCUACGGGCGGCAGCAGUGGGGGAUAUUGCACAAUGGGGGGAACCCUGAUGCAGCGACGCCGCGUGGGUGAAGAAGCGCCUCGGCGCGUAAAGCCCUGUCAGCAGGGAAGAAAAUGACGGUACCUGAAGAAGAAGCACCGGCUAACUACGGGCCAGCAGCCGCGGUAAUACGUAGGGGGCAAGCGUUAUCCGGAUUUACUGGGUGGAAAGGGGGCGCAGACGGCGAUGCAAGCCAGGAGUGAAAGCCCGGGGCCCAACCCCGGGACUGCUCUUGGAACUGCGUGGCUGGAGUGCAGGAGGGGCAGGCGGAAUUCCUGGUGUAGCGGUGAAAUGCGUAGAUAUCAGGAGGAACACCGGUGGCGAAGGCGGCCUGCUGGACUGCAACUGACGUUGAGGCCCGAAAGCGUGGGGAGCAAACAGGAUUAGAUACCCUUGUAGUC